UACCGUGAAACUGCGAAUGGCUCAUUAAAUCAGUUAUCGUUUAUUUGAUAGUACCUUACUACUUGGAUAACCGUGGUAAUUCUAGAGCUAAUACAUGCUGAAAACCCCGACUUCGGAAGGGGUGUAUUUAUUAGAUAAAAAACCAAUGCCCUUCGGGGCUCCUUGGUGAUUCAUAAUAACUUCUCAGAUCGCAUGGCCUUGCGCCGGCGACGGUUCAUUCAAAUUUCUGCCCUAUCAACUUUCGAUGGUAAGGUAUUGGCUUACCAUGGUUUCAACGGGUAACGGGGAAUUAGGGUUCGAUUCCGGAGAGGGAGCCUGAGAAACGGCUACCACAUCCAAGGAAGGCAGCAGGCGCGCAAAUUACCCAAUCCCGACACGGGGAGGUAGUGACAAUAAAUACUGAUACAGGGCUCUUUUGGGUCUUGUAAUUGGAAUGAGUACAAUUUAAACCUCUUAACGAGGAACAAUUGGAGGGCAAGUCUGGUGCCAGCAGCCGCGGUAAUUCCAGCUCCAAUAGCGUAUAUUAAAGUUGUUGCAGUUAAAAAGCUCGUAGUUGAACCUUUGGCCUGGCUGGCAGGUCCGCCUCACCGCGUGCACUUGUCCGGCCGGGCCUUCUUUUCUGGAGAACCGCAUGCCCUUCACUGGGUGUGUUGGGGACCAGGACUUUUACUUUGAAAAAAUUAGAGUGUUCAAAGCAGGCCUUUGCUCGAAUACGUUAGCAUGGAAUAAUAGAAUAGGACGUGCGGUCCUAUUUUGUUGGUUUCUAGGACCGCCGUAAUGAUUAAUAGGGACAGUCGGGGGCAUCAGUAUUCAAUUGUCAGAGGUGAAAUUCUUGGAUUUAUUGAAGACUAACUACUGCGAAAGCAUUUGCCAAGGAUGUUUUCAUUAAUCAGUGAACGAAAGUUAGGGGAUCGAAGACGAUCAGAUACCGUCGUAGUCUUAACCAUAAACUAUGCCGACUAGGGAUCGGGCGGUGUUAUUAUUUUGACUCGCUCGGCACCUUACGAGAAAUCAAAG
rnacentral:rRNA from 1 species